GAUGAACGCUGGCGGCGUGCCUAAUACAUGCAAGUCGAGCGAACGGACGAGAAGCUUGCUUCUCUGAUGUUAGCGGCGGACGGGUGAGUAACACGUGGAUAACCUACCUAUAAGACUGGGAUAACUUCGGGAAACCGGAGCUAAUACCGGAUAAUAUUUUGAACCGCAUGGUUCAAAAGUUAAAGACGGUCUUGCUGUCACUUAUAGAUGGAUCCGCGCUGCAUUAGCUAGUUGGUAAGGUAACGGCUUACCAAGGCAACGAUGCAUAGCCGACCUGAGAGGGUGAUCGGCCACACUGGAACUGAGACACGGUCCAGACUCCUACGGGAGGCAGCAGUAGGGAAUCUUCCGCAAUGGGCAAAAGCCUGACGGAGCAACGCCGCGUGAGUGAUGAAGGUCUUCGGAUCGUAAAACUCUGUUAUUAGGGAAGAACAUAUGUGUAAGUAACUGUGCACAUCUUGACGGUACCUAAUCAGAAAGCCACGGCUAACUCCGUG
rnacentral:rRNA from 1 species